GGAGGGUUAGCCUAAUUGGUAAGGCAGCAUUCUUGAAAACUGCCGGGUUUGCGCCCUUGUGAGUUCGAGUCUCUCAUCCUCCG
rnacentral:tRNA from 1 species